rnacentral:rRNA from 1 species
GUACACGCUGUGACUAGCAUAUCAAUAAGCGGAGGAAAAGAGGGCUAUUACCUACGCUUAGGAUGUUGACACACGCGCGUGCUCGACUCUAGUACACGCUGUGACUAGCAUAUCAAUAAGCGGAGGAAAAGGCUGCGGAACUGAACGGACCGCUACCUACGCUUAGGAUGUUGAUAGUCACAGCGUGUACGCUGACGUCGCGACGCAUAUCAAUAAGCGGAGGAAAAGAAACUAACAAGGAUUCCCCUAGUAACGGCGAGUGAAGCGGGAAGAGCUCAAAUUUGAAAUCUUAAAGGGUUUCCCUUUACGAAUUGUAGUUUAAAGAAGUGUUUUCUGUUGAGGUUUUGGUAAAAGUUCUUUGGAAUAGGACAUCAUAGAGGGUGAGAAUCCCGUAUUUGACCUUUACUUUCAACUUUGUGAUACACUUUCAAAGAGUCGGAUUGUUCGGGAAUGCAGUCCAAAAUGGGUGGUAAAUUUCAUCUAAAGCUAAAUAUUGGCGAGAGACCGAUAGCGAACAAGUACCGUGAGGGAAAGAUGAAAAGAACUUUGAAAAGAGAGUUAAACAGUACGUGAAAUUGUCAAAAGGGAAGCGUUUGACACCAGUGUUGUUUUUCUGAAAAUCAAUUAAAGAACUGUUUAUGCUAAGUUGUUUAGACUUUAUCAGCUAUCUGUUUCAGUUUUGAGCUUUUCUUUAAUGCACUUUUCAGUUAACAAGUCAACAUCAAUUUCUUUUGCUGUAAAAAAGCUUGAGGAAGGUGGCUUGAGAUUCGUCUUAAGUGUUUAUAGCCUCUUGCCUACGCAGUCGGAGAGAUCGAGGUCUGCAGCGUAGAUCCUUCGGGGCUAAAUGCAUUUGUGCUAAGUUAUAGCAUUUUAUAGACAACUUGUUGACUAUGAUUUGUCUUGUAGCUUACUCGCUUAUGUUAUUUUACCUACGCUUAGGAUGUUGAGUCGUAGAGCACGCAG